GUUGGUGGGUGUGGGUGCGGAGGGGUGCGUCUAAGCGCACAUGUUAAUUCAUCUCUCCUUAUCUUUGUUUCUUUGUUUUUGUGUGUUAGGUAGCCGGUCGUGGAAAUGUGUAAACGCUCACACUCAGAAUGUCACAUUACAGAUUGUGGGGAACAGAAUAAAGAAAAUUCACGUGGCAGCA